rnacentral:rRNA from 1 species
CGGACGGGUGAGUAACGCGUGAGAAUCUGCCUUUUGGUCGGGGACAACCACUGGAAACGGUGGCUAAUACCGGAUGUGCCGCAACGUAAAAGAGGAAACUCGCCUUUUGAGGAGCUCGCGUCUGAUUAGCUAGUUGGUGAGGUAAAGGCUCACCAAGGCAUCGAUCAGUAGCUGGUCUGAGAGGAUGAUCAGCCACACUGGGACUGAGACACGGCCCAGACUCCUACGGGAGGCAGCAGUGGGGAAUUUUCCGCAAUGGGCGAAAGCCUGACGGAGCAAGACCGCGUGAGGGAGGAAGGCUCUUGGGUUGUAAACCUCUUUUGUCAGGGAAGAACACAAUGACGGUACCUGAAGAAUCAGCAUCGGCUAACUCCGUGCCAGCAGCCGCGGUAAUACGGGGGAUGCAAGCGUUAUCCGGAAUUAUUGGGCGUAAAGCGUCCGCAGGUGGCUAAUCAAGUCUGCUGUCAAAGGUUGGGGCUUAACCCCAAAAAGGCAGUGGAAACUGAGAAGCUAGAGUGCAGUAGGGGUAGAGGGAAUUCCCGGUGUAGCGGUGAAAUGCGUAGAGAUCGGGAAGAACAUCGGUGGCGAAAGCGCUCUACUGGACUGCAACUGACACUCAGGGACGAAAGCUAGGGGAGCGAAUGGGAUUAGAUACCCCAGUAGUC